rnacentral:rRNA from 1 species
GCGCCCCUACGGGGCGCAGCAGUGGGGAAUAUUGCACAAUGGGGGAAACCCUGAUGCAGCGACGCCGCGUGAGUGAAGAAGUAAUUCGUUAUGUAAAGCUCUAUCAGCAGGGAAGAAAAUGACGGUACCUGAGUAAGAAGCCCCGGCUAACUACGUGCCAGCAGCCGCGGUAAUACGUAGGGGGCAAGCGUUAUCCGGAUUUACUGGGUGUAAAGGGAGCGUAGACGGCAGUGCAAGUCUGGAGUGAAAGCCCGGGGCCCAACCCCGGGACUGCCCUUGGAACUGCAUGGCUGGAGUGCGGGAGG